AUAACGGUCCUAAGGUAGCGAAAUUCCUUGUCAGGUAAGUUCUGACCCGCACGAAAGGCGUAAUGAUUUGGGCGCUGUCUCGACAAUGUCCCCGGCGAAAUUGUAGUACUAGUGAAGAUGCUAGUUACCUGCGAUAAGACAGAAAGACCCCAUGGAGCUUUACUGCAGUUUGAUACUGGGUUUCGAUGAUUUAUGUACAGGAUAGUUGGGAGACUAUGAAAGAGAGGCGUCAGCUUCUCCGGAGUCAUUGUUGGGAUACCAACCUUAAGUUAUUGAAAUUCUAACUUGUAAUCGUAAACCGGUUAGAGGACAAUGUCAGACGGGCAGUUUGACUGGGGCGGUCGCCUCCUAAAGAGUAACGGAGGCGCCCAAAGGUUUCCUCAGCGCGGACAGAAAUCGCGCGAAAGAGUGCAAAGGCAGAAGGAAGCUUAACUGAGAGACAGACAUGUCGACCAGAUACGAAAGUAGGGCUUAGUGAUCCGGUGGUUGUAAAUGGAAAUGCCAUCGCUCAACGGACAAAAGUUACCCUGGGGAUAACAGGCUUAUCUCCCCCAAGAGUUCACAUCGACGGGGAGGUUUGGCACCUCGAUGUCGGCUCAUCACAUCCUGGAGCGGAAGUACGUUCCAAGGGUUGGGCUGUUCGCCCAUUAAAGUGGUACGCGAGCUGGGUUCAGAACGUCGUGAGACAGUUCGGUCCUUAUCUGUCGCAGGCGGAGGAUAUUUGAAGGGAGUUGGCCCUAGUACGAGAGGACCAGGCUGAACGAACCGAUGGUACACCAGUUGUCUCACCAGAGGCACAGCUGGGAAGCUAAGUUCGGAAGGGAUAAACGCUGAAAGCAUCUAAGUGUGAAGCCCACCCUAAGAUAAGAUAUGCCAUACCGUAAGGUAGUAAGAUUCCAGAAAGACUAACUGGUAGAUAGGUUGGAAGUGUAAGUGGUGAGAGCCAUUAAGCUAACCAAUACUAAUAAAUCGAGGGCUUAACCAC
rnacentral:rRNA from 1 species